rnacentral:rRNA from 1 species
GGCAGAUUAGGUAGUUGGUGGGAUAAAAGCUUACCAAGCCGACGAUCUGUAGCUGGUCUGAGAGGAUGAUCAGCCACACUGGGACUGAGACACGGCCCAGACUCCUACGGGAGGCAGCAGUGGGGAAUUUUGGACAAUGGGGGCAACCCUGAUCCAGCCAUGCCGCGUGCAGGAUGAAGGCCUUCGGGUUGUAAACUGCUUUUGUACGGAACGAAAAGACUCUGGUUAAUACCUGGGGGUCCAUGACGGUACCGUAAGAAUAAGCACCGGCUAACUACGUGCCAGCAGCCGCGGUAAUACGUAGGGUGCAAGCGUUAAUCGGAAUUACUGGGCGUAAAGCGUGCGCAGGCGGUGAUGUAAGACAGAGGUGAAAUCCCCGGGCUCAACCUGGGAACUGCCUUUGUGACUGCAUCGCUGGAGUGCGGCAGAGGGGGAUGGAAUUCCGCGUGUAGCAGUGAAAUGCGUAGAUAUGCGGAC